AGGACGAUCAACCACACUGGGACUGAGACACGGCCCAGACUCCUACNGGGAGGCAGCAGUGGGGAAUCUUGCGCAAUGCGCGAAAGCGUGACGCAGCAACGCCGCGUGGGGGAAGAAGGCUUUCGGGUUGUAAACCCCUUUCAGUUGGGACGAAGCUUCUCCGGUGAAUAGCCGGAUGGAGUGACGGUACCUUCACAAGAAGCACCGGCUAACUACGUGCCAGCAGCCGCGGUAAUACGUA
rnacentral:rRNA from 1 species